GAUGAACGCUAGCGGGAGGCCUAACACAUGCAAGCCGAGCGGUAGAGUUCCUUCGGGAGCUUGAGAGCGGCGUACGGGUGCGUAACACGUGUGCAACCUACCUUUAUCUGGGGGAUAGCCUUUCGAAAGGAAGAUUAAUACCCCAUAAUAUAAUGAUUGGCAUCAAUUAUUAUUGAAAACUCCGGUGGAUAGAGAUGGGCACGCGCAAGAUUAGAUAGUUGGUGAGGUAACGGCUCACCAAGUCAAUGAUCUUUAGGGGUCCUGAGAGGGAGAUCCCCCACACUGGUACUGAGACACGGACCAGACUCCUACGGGAGGCAGCAGUGAGGAAUAUUGGACAAUGGGUGAAAGCCUGAUCCAGCCAUCCCGCGUGAAGGAUGACGGUCCUAUGGAUUGUAAACUUCUUUUGUACAGGGAUAAACCUACUCUCGUGAGGGUAGCUGAAGGUACUGUACGAAUAAGCACCGGCUAACUCCGUG
rnacentral:rRNA from 1 species